rnacentral:rRNA from 1 species
UACGUAGGUGGCAAGCGUUGUCCGGAAUUACUGGGUGUAAAGGGAGCGUAGGCGGGACGGUAAGUUGAAUGUGAAAUCUAUGGGCUCAACCCAUAAACUGCGUUCAAAACUACCGUUCUUGAGUGAAGUAGAGGCAGGCGGAAUUCCUAGUGUAGCGGUGAAAUGCGUAGAUAUUAGGAGGAACACCAGUGGCGAAGGCGGCCUGCUGGGCUUUAACUGACGCUGAGGCUCGAAAGCGUGGGGAGCAAACAGG